ensembl:lncRNA
GACUUUGUUAGAUUAUCUCUAGGGAGAUGAUUGCAGAGGAACCUGCUGCUCAUUUGUAGCGUGAAACCACGCAGCUCCUCCUCUGGCUGCCACUGUGCUCCUGCUUAUAGGGCAGCUACUCAGCUCAUCUGUGUUUACCCUAAAGAUGGGGGGCAGGCGUAACCUUUCUGUACACCCAGCGUGAAGUGGCUUACCCCUCCGUGAAACUCAGGUGAGCUGCUUCUCUGCCGACUGCAAACUGGGAGCAUCUUCACGGGGAACUUUUCCGCUGAAAUCAAAGUGAAACUUCACCCUGGGCUUUCUUAUUGCUGCCUCCUGAGUCACCACAUCCUUCUCUUGUCACCACCACCUUUCUGUUUAGAAAGUGAUAAUGAGACGCAGUGUUCAGCAGUGAGAACUGGGUCUGUGUGCGAGGAAUGAAUUUACAGAGGGGUUAAAAUUCGCUCUUUGAAAGCAGAGAGCACCAAAAGGUCCACCUGGGGAGUCAGUUGUUGGCGUGCUGCAGUUUUACAGUGCUUCCCUACAUUUCUUGUGGAGACAAGCCCCAAGGAAUCUGAAGACUUGGCUUAUUUUCCUGAUCCUGCAACAGAUCCUGCCUUGCCCGGCUAUGGAGUUCAGCUCAAAGCAGCUGCAGAAAAAAAGCAUCCUGCUGCAGAAGAGCCAAUGGCCCUGGGAACAGACUGCUUUUAUAAAAAGCCUUACGAGAGCCAGAUGCCCCCUACCCUGACAAAGACUGAUCAGGUGGCUGCUGGUAUCGCCUUUCACUGCUCUUUGGCAAGGGUGGAAACACAGAAUGAUGGGUGCCAUGGAUUUAUGCUUUGUGAGAGGUCAGGUCAGAUCAUCAGCAUGGAAAAUAAAUCCAUUGGAUGUAUCUCCCGGGGGGUGCAGGAGGCUGUGCUGCAAGUCUCUUGGCACGGGGCAGUCCCCCAGCACUUCCCCACCCGAGCGGCCGCAGCAGGUGAUCCGCGGAGGAAGAGGAGGAUGAAGCCCGGCGUGCGAGCCAGCCCCGCCGGCUGCCGAGUGCCACCAGAGGGUGCUGCGCCGUACCGCCGGCCGGCAGGGACGGAUGGGAACGGGAGGGAUGCGAGAGGGACGCGGGAGGCUGCGGCCCCAGCCAGCUCCCUGCCUGCCAGCUCCUGCUGUGGUUGCCAGGCUGCUUGGUUUGGUUGCCCCGCAGCUAGCUAGUUCCGUCUGAUGGACCUCAGCUCCCUCUGGAGAAAACAAACGUUUGUGGCCGUGUUGAUGUGCAAGGAGGAAAACAUCGACACCGCAGAUAACGUGGUUGGUACGUCUCGAGACAGCGUAUGUAGAAGACAGCAUUUAAAAGGGUUGGUUUAUUAACUUUGCGCUCCCGUGCCGUAACCAGCCGCCCUUUAGGGAGACAGAAUUAGCCUCUCUUUAGCAGAAGGCAUCACAUCCCUCUGCUUAUGUCCCGUGCCGCUGCUCCCCCCAGCAGCCGCACUCCUCGGUGCCUGCUGUCCCACACGUCCGGGGCUGCUGUACAGAGCGCUCCUUAUACAGACGUCUCUUGGCAUGGAGGCGCUCCCCGGGAGCACGACUGUAGGUUGAAAUUCUGCCUUCUUGGAAUAAGCAAAUGCCAGGGGUUUAUUUCCUAUUAAGCUAGCAGAUAGUUUGUGCAUUUAGCCGCAGUUUGCUGUCUCCAACCAGAUACGGGUGGAUCCUUCUUGUUUUCCUUCCUCUUUAUAUUUCCAGCCUGGGAAACAGCAAAAAGUUUGUGCAAAAGCAACAUCUGUGGGAGAGAGAGAGAGAAAAGGAUGAGGCAGGCUGGCCCGGCAGCCAGCCUCAGGAGAUGGUAAGACAGAAGAGCUAUUCAUUGUGAGAGGCAGUUGCUCCUCACCCUGCUAGACUAUAAAUUGGACACCUUAUUAAGAGCUGAUCCUCCAACAGCCCCACCCCGGGCUGUGCUCACGCUCCGGACUAGAGGAACGCAAUCCCGUUUCGCUCUGGGUGCCCGCUGUGGGGUGAGCACAUGUGUGAGCAGGACAGAGGACACGAGGCAGAAGGAAGCAGCACACUUUUUGAUUUGUGGGUCGUCAGCUUAGGAAAACAAGGCAAACUUUUGGGAGGCAGCAGGGAGGAGGUUGGAUGGCAGCGAAGUUUGGGCUCUCACCCUAUGAUGCGCUGGUUGCCUUAGCAAAUAAUGGAAGCAGUAUUACAUUUUUUUCCUUUUUUUUUUAAACUUGUUUUCUCAGUUGUAACUUAAAAAUGCUGACUCACUGGCACUGUGUGCCAACACAAAUGUUGCUGCGGAAAUCAAUCAUCAUGAGAGCCUGGCGAGAUAUAACCCCACAGUGGCGCAGGCUUUGAAUGGGCCUCUUUGGUCAUUCCAAGUUUCUUCUUCAGACAAUUCGCCCGGAAACUUCCUUCUUGUCAGGUUUUCCAGAUCCAAAACCACAGAACUGCUGGAGAUUCCUUGACGUGUACACGGGCAAAACAGAGCAAGCAAGAGUACUGGUCAUCCUUGCUGGCCAUUCUGUUUCUGAACUGGGCCAGAAUGAAGCAUCCUACCUUAACAACAGUCCAAAACUCUGCUGGAAUUUGGACUAGCAUCCAAACUCAAGGCACAGGCUCUUCUCUAAAUAAAAAUAACUCAAUCACAAGCUAUUUUGGGGUGGUGACUUUCAGACAAGAAAUGUAGGGCUUACACAGGUUUUUACUUCUGUCAAAUACAUCUGGAUGCUGUACUCCUUCCUGCCGAUACUCUGAACUUGCUCUCUUCAGCUCAGAGCCAAAGAACUCCAACUGAAAGCUAGAAAUGGUAGAACAACUGAUGUUACUCAAGGUAAACAGCAGGGUUUUUUUGGUGGUUUAUUUAUUCCACAGAGGAUAUUCUGCUACUCUGGUUGCUGCUGAUGCUGAUAAAAUUUCUGUCAUGGCCUGUGAUGAACAGCAUGCAAUGUUGGUUCAAGAUAAGAGCCAAAAGCGUGUCAAAGAGUCUUCUCCAAAUAGGAAUCCCCAUAGAUCUGGCUUUUUUGACAGGGUGGUAGUUAACGAAACUGCCACACCUGGCACCAUUGACAUUGCUGCCAAAACUGUCCGUCACCAUCCUCUCCCCUUCCCACAGCACCCAGUAACAAAUCUGUUUUUUCCUGUUUGCUUGGAUAUACCUGGUAUUAUGAUAGGAACAGUUCCCGUUCAUGAAGAAUGAGGUGGGAUACAGCGAGUUGUAAGGGACAGGAAGCAAAGGAGGAAGCGGUGUGCUGGGCUAUUGUUGUUAAUGGCACUAAGCAGCAAGUGCUAAAGCAUGUUUUACAUCAGUGCGAGCACUGCUGUGUAUGAUGUCCUACUGGGAGUGCCUGCACUGUGUGCAGCAGAUGGGCAGCAGGAGAGUUUCACUGCUGGGUUCUGAGGUAAGAGUGUUUCCUACCUCAGGAGCUCCAAGCAGUCUAUGAACUUCAGUUGAUUUAAAGCUUUGGACCUUCAAAAUAAUUAUCCGGUUGUAUCCCAGAGCAAGGCAUAUUUGCUGAAGAUGUCAUAGGAAGUUUUCAGCUGUGCCAAGUGUAUAAACUAGAUCUUCUGACUCAUAGAUCUAGGGUUUAAUUGAAGGAGUUUUCUUCCUCUUUACAUAGCUACCCUGCCUUCUCUUUGAUAUUAUCCCACCCUCCCCUAAUCACUGGGUGACAUCUGAUCCCUAUGACUCUUCUAUAACCUUCAAGGUCUAUUGUAUUGGGUCCAAGAUCUUGUGUUUUAUUUCUGGCUGUUCUAAUUUUGAGUCCAUCCCUGCAAUUCCAGGGGGCUCACCCCUAAACUGGCUGCAAGCCCUUGGGAAGCAGGGUGCCCCUUGGUGGUACAUCUCACUGUGGAGCAGAGAUUUUCCUGAACCAGUCACUGUCCUCCACUAAACCCUGGUGCAGAGGAUGGCUAUUGCCUCCCACGUGCUUCCUGCAAUUUCUGCUUAAGUAUAGUAUUCUUUGCUGCCUCUCUGCAGUUGGAAUGUAAAGCUGCUUUCUGUAGAUUUAAAGUCGCUUCCUCCUCUGAAGUGGCUUUAUUUUAGUGCUCAGCUCAGUGAUUCCUACACAGUACUUAACCCAGCAGGUAUCUGAAGUCCAAAUACUUUAUUUAGAUCUAAGUUAACGCAUAACAUUGCUUCUAUCAAUAUCAUUAGAUUUUCUUGUGUCUUUAAACUCAGUGUUCUUGAGUCACUUUCUCUUUUUUCCCUCUCGUCAAAG